rnacentral:rRNA from 1 species
GAUGAACGCUAGCUACAGGCUUAACGCAUGCAAGUCGAGGGGUAACAAGAGAAAAGCUUGCUUUUCUUGUUGACGACCGGCGCACGGGUGAGUAACGCGUAUCCAACCUGCCUAUAACUAGGGAAUAACCUUGCGAAAGUAAGACUAAUGCCCUAUGACUUCCUUUGGCGGCAUCAAAAAAGGAAUAAAGAUUUAUCGGUUAUAGAUGGGGAUGCGUCUGAUUAGCUUGUUGGCGGGGUAACGGCCCACCAAGGCAACGAUCAGUAGGGGUUCUGAGAGGAAGGUCCCCCACAUUGGAACUGAGACACGGUCCAAACUCCUACGGGAGGCAGCAGUGAGGAAUAUUGGUCAAUGGGCGGAAGCCUGAACCAGCCAAGUAGCGUGCAGGAUGACGGCCCUAUGGGUUGUAAACUGCUUUUAUACAGGGAUAAAGUUAGCCACGUGUGGUUAUUUACAGGUACUGUAUGAAUAAGGACCGGCUAAUUCCGUGCCAGCCGCCGCAGUAACAC